CCUACGGGAGGCAGCAGUGAGGAAUAUUGCGCAAUGGAGGCAACUCUGACGCAGCCAUGCCGCGUGCAGGAAGAAGGCGCUACGCGUUGUAAACUGCUUUUAUCCGGGAAGAAACCCCAGGACGUGUCCUGGGUUGACGGUACCGGAGGAAUAAGCACCGGCUAACUUCGUGCCAGCAGCCGCGGUAAUACGAAGGGUGCAAGCGUUAUCCGGAUUCAUUGGGUUUAAAGGGUGCGUAGGUGGGGCGAUAAGUCAGCGGUGAAAUCCUGCAGCUCAACUGCAGAAUUGCCGUUGAUACUGUCGCUCUUGAGUACGCUUGACGUGGGCGGAAUGUGCCGUGUAGCGGUGAAAUGCUUAGAUAUGGCACAGAACACCGAUAGUGAAGACAGCUCACGAAGGCGAAACUGACACUGAGGCACGAAAGCGUGGGGAUCGAACAGGAUUAGAUACCCUGGUAGUCCACGCCGUAAACGAUGAUCACUCGUGAUCGGCGAUAUACGGCCGGUCACCUAGCGAAAGCGUUAAGUGAUCCACCUGGGGAGUACGAUCGCAAGAUUGAAACUCAAAUGAAUUGACGG
rnacentral:rRNA from 1 species